AUUGAACGCUGGCGGCAUGCCUUACACAUGCAAGUCGGACGGCAGCACGUGAGCAAUCCUGGUGGCGAGUGGCGAACGGGUGAGUAAAGUAUCGGAACGGGCCCAGGUGCGGGGGAGAACGUAUCGAGAGUGACGCUAAUACCUCAUACGAUCGAUGGAUGGAAGCGGGGGAUCGGAAGACCGCGAGCGACUGGUGCCGCAGAUAUCAGAUUAGGUAGUUGGUGGGGUAAAGGCUCACCAAGCCGACGAUCUGUAGCUGGUCUGAGAGGACGACCAGCCACACUGGGACCGAGACACGGCCCAGACUCCUACGGGAGGCAGCAGUGGGGAAUUUUGGACAAUGGGCGAAAGCCUGAUCCAGCCAUGCCGCGUGGAGGAUGAAGGCCUUCGGGUUGUAAACUGCUUUUGUACGGAACGAAAAGGUUUGGCCUAAUAAGCUGAGCUCAUGACGGUACCGUAAGAAUAAGCACCGGCUAACUACGUGCCAGCCGCCGCCGUAA
rnacentral:rRNA from 1 species